GACGAACGCUGGCGGCGUGCUUAACACAUGCAAGUCGAACGGAAAGGCCCUGCUUUUGUGGGGUGCUCGAGUGGCGAACGGGUGAGUAACACGUGAGUAACCUGCCCUUGACUUUGGGAUAACUUCAGGAAACUGGGGCUAAUACCGGAUAGGAGCUCCUGCUGCAUGGUGGGGGUUGGAAAGUUUCGGCGGUUGGGGAUGGACUCGCGGCUUAUCAGCUUGUUGGUGGGGUAGUGGCUUACCAAGGCUUUGACGGGUAGCCGGCCUGAGAGGGUGACCGGCCACAUUGGGACUGAGCUACGACCCGGACUCGUACGGGAGGCAGCAGUGGGGAAUAUUGCACAAUGGGCGGAAGCCUGACGCAGCAACGCCGCGUGCGGGAUGACGGCCUUCGGGUUGUAAACCGCUUUCGCCUGUGACGAAGCGUGAGUGACGGUAAUGGGUAAAGAAGCACCGGCUAACUACGUG
rnacentral:rRNA from 1 species